rnacentral:rRNA from 1 species
CAAUAGCGUAUAUUAAAGUUGUUGCAGUUAAAAAGCUCGUAGUUGAAUUUCUGGUCCCGCCGGUCGGCCCUUUCGGUGUCCGAUCCGUGGGAUCAUCCUCACCCUCCGGGGUGUCAUUUACUGUGAAAAAAUUAGAGUGUUUAAAGCAGGCUUUAGGCUUGAAUACAUUAGCAUGGAAUAAUAAGAUAGGACCAGUUUGCUAUUUUGUUGGUUGCGCACAUUGGUAAUGAUUAAUAGGGACAGUUGGGGGUAUUCAUAUUUAAUUGUCAGAGGUGAAAUUCUACGACCUGUUAAAGAUGAACUACUGCGAAAGCAUUUACCAAGGAUGUUUNCAUUAA